AGGACGAACGCUGGCGGCGUGCUUAACACAUGCAAGUCGAGCGGAAAGGCCCUUCGGGGUACUCGAGCGGCGAACGGGUGAGUAACACGUGAGUAACCUGCCCCUAGCUCUGGGAUAGCUCCGGGAAACCGGGAUUAAUACCAGAUACGACCACUUUAGACAUCUGUCGUGGUGGAAAGGAUUCCGGCUAGGGAUGGGCUCGCGGCCUAUCAGCUUGUUGGUGGGGUAACGCCUACCAAGGCGACGACGGGUAGCCGGCCUGAGAGGGCGACCGGCCACACUGGGACUGAGACACGGCCCAGACUCCUACGGGAGGCAGCAGUGGGGAUAUUGCGCAAUGGGCGAAAGCCUGACGCAGCGACGCCGCGUGGGGAUGAAGGCCUUCGGGUUGUAAACCCCUUUCAGCAGGGACGAAGCGAAAGUGACGGUACCUGCAGAAGAAGCGCCGGCUAACUACGCGCCAGCAGCCGC
rnacentral:rRNA from 1 species